GUCAUGUCUUUUUGUCUGUAGGCGCAACAUCUCAAGCUAUUGGUCCACUUAUUCCCUUGUUCGAGUGUCCCAUUAACUACUAUGGAGAGACUUACGUUGAAGCAUUUGGGAUCGCUCUCGGGAAUGUAUUUACGCUGCUCUUUGGCAACCAAACUAGCUCUGACUUCAUGACUUUCACCUUUGAAGACCUGGUGCAACUUGUCGCUUUUGGGCCAACCUUUAUUGUUGCUGAUGAAACUUCUGAAUUUGCCCUAAAUCUGCCAGACCUUGUUGGGACGUCACCGUGCUUUUACGGUAUCGGUUUGUUUUCUUCUUCGAAUACGGUGAGUACUGUGUUUUGUAUUUCUUCAUUUUAGCUACUUGUUUG